GUCCAUCACUUCCCAAUCCUUCUUUCUUGUCUGGGAGACCUUCGGAAGCAGCCAAGACAGGAGCUACUGGCCUAACAUGGUCAGGGGCAGUCCAGCAAAGCCCAGGCCUCAGCAUCUGCAGCACUCACUGAUCCCGCAAACUGACCAUUCAAACACACAGGCGGGGGUGGAAUGGAAGUCAAAUCCUUAUGACAUUUGCCAAAGUCGAAUUGUUGACAAGACAGCCCCUCUCUUCAUUCAAUGGAUAAAACUCCUGGUGCCUUGUGUUUCAGUCUAGUCGUUAUUCCUCUGGAAUCUACUUUGUGAAUAGUGUGAGACAGAAAUAAUCCUUUUGCAAAGUUUGAAGACUUCCUCCACCAUCACUGAGCAUAUGGACUAUGAAUCUGAUUUGCUAAUAUCAAGGCAUGCCAUUUGUGUUUUCACAAUCUGUAAGUGAGUGACUUUGGGAGCAAUAGCUGGUAUCGGGUGUGAUGAAGGAUGAGUAGGGGAAGGUGGAUGUGCUGUGAGGGGUCCCCUCACAGGUCUCAGCUGAGUGACAAGAAGUUCAGUAUGCUGGCCUUGGCUCUCCCUUUUGCACCCCCAGCAUGAAAAUGGCUCUAAGUGAAAUGGGAACCCUCCUACACUGUUGGUGGGAAUGUAAAUUGGUGCAACCGUUGUGGAAAGCGAUAUGGAGGUUCCUCA